rnacentral:lncRNA from 1 species
GGAUAGUGGCUGAGUUUUGCAACCCUAGAAUGAUGUCUAAAAAAUCAGAUAACCAUCUAAUUCUUUUUGUUUUUUGGUAAGAUAAAGCAUUUAUAUAUUGCGAAUAUGAACACAGUCAGAAAGAUUAAAAAAAAAAAGAUUAUCUCAGAAUGUCUGCGAUACCAUAGUCAUCUGUUGUCCUCUACUGCAAAGGAAAUACCCAGUC